CCUACGGGGGGCAGCAGUAGGGAAUCUUCCACAAUGGACGAAAGUCUGAUGGAGCAACGCCGCGUGAGUGAAGAAGGGUUUCGGCUCGUAAAGCUCUGUUGGUAGUGAAGAAAGAUAGAGGUAGUAACUGGCCUUUAUUUGACGGUAAUUACUUAGAAAGUCACGGCUAACUACGUGCCAGCAGCCGCGGUAAUACGUAGGUGGCAAGCGUUGUCCGGAUUUAUUGGGCGUAAAGCGAGUGCAGGCGGGUUAAUAAGACUGAUGUGAAAGCCUUCGGCUCAAACGGAGAAAUGCAACAGGAACUG
rnacentral:rRNA from 1 species